rnacentral:tRNA from 1 species
GGAGAGGUGGCCGAGUGGCUGAAGGUGCUCGCCUGGAAAGCGUGUAGGGGGUCAACGCUCCCUCGAGGGUUCGAAUCCCUCCCUCUCCGCCA